GCACGUAGUUAGCCGUGCCUUAUUCACGGAGGUACCGUCAGAACUUCUUCCCUCGUAAAAGGGGUUUACGACCCGAGGGCCUUCGUCCCCCACGCGGCGUUGCUGCGUCAGGCUUUCGCCCAUUGCGCAAGAUUCUUAG
rnacentral:rRNA from 1 species